GAUGAACGCUGGCGGCGUGCCUAAUACAUGCAAGUCGAGCGAACAGACGAGGAGUUUGUUCGUCAGACGUUUGCGGCGGACGGGUGUGUAACACGUGGAUAACCUACUUAUAUGACUGGGAUAACUUCGGGAAACCGGCUCUAAUACCGGAUGAUAUAUUGAACCGUAUUGUUCAAUAGUGAAAGACGGUUUUGCUGUCACUUAUCGAUGUAUCCGCGCGGCAUUGGCUAGUUGGUCAGCUAACGGCUUACCAAGUAAACGAUGCGUAGCCGACCUGAGAGGGUGAACGCCCACACUGGAAGUGAGACGCGGUCCAGACUCCUACGGGAGGCAGCGGUAGGGAAUCUACCGAGAUGGGCGGAAGCCUGAAGGAGCAGCGCAGCGCGGGUGAUGAAGGUCUUCGGAUCGGAAAACUGUGUUAUUAGGGAAGAACAAAUGUGUAAGUAACUAUGCACGUCUUGACGGUACCUAGUCAGAAAGCCACGGCUAACUACGUG
rnacentral:rRNA from 1 species